rnacentral:rRNA from 1 species
GAACCGUGCAAACGUUGUUCGGAAUCACUGGGCUUAAAGGGCGCGUAGGCGGGCGGACAAGUCCGGGGUGAAAGCCCCCAGCUUAACUGGGGAAUUGCCUUGGAUACUGGCCGCCUCGAGGGAGGUAGGGGCAUGCGGAACUUCCGGUGGAGCGGUGAAAUGCGUUGAUAUCGGAAGGAACUCCGGUGGCGAAAGCGGCGUGCUGGACCUCUUCUGACGCUGAGGCGCGAAAGCCAGGGGAGCAAACGGGAUUAGAUACCCCGGUAGUCCUGGCCCUAAACGUUGGGUACUAGGUAGUGGACUUGACAUGGGUUCACUGCCGAAGCAAAAGUGCUAAGUACCCCGCCUGGGGAGUAUGGUCGCAAGGCUGAA